GAUGAACGCUAGCGGCAGGCUUAACACAUGCAAGUCGAGGGGUAUAUGCUUUCGGGCAUAGAGACCGGCGCACGGGUGCGUAACGCGUAUGCAAUCUGCCUUUCACAGAGGGAUAGCCCAGAGAAAUUUGGAUUAAUACCUCAUAGCAUAGCACAAUCGCAUGAUUGAGCUAUUAAAGUCACAACGGUGAAAAAUGAGCAUGCGUCCCAUUAGCUAGUUGGUAAGGUAACGGCUUACCAAGGCUACGAUGGGUAGGGGUCCUGAGAGGGAGAUCCCCCACACUGGUACUGAGACACGGACCAGACUCCUACGGGAGGCAGCAGUGAGGAAUAUUGGUCAAUGGGCGCAAGCCUGAACCAGCCAUGCCGCGUGCAGGAUGACGGUCCUAUGGAUUGUAAACUGCUUUUGUACGGGAAGAAACACUCCUACGUGUAGGAGCUUGACGGUACCGUAAGAAUAAGGAUCGGCUAACUCCGUGCCAGCAGCCGCGGUAAGAC
rnacentral:rRNA from 1 species